AAAGUCCGUAACAAGGUUUCCGUAGGUGAACCUGCGGAAGGAUCAUUAUCGUAGGGCUUCGGCCCUGUCGAGAUAGAACCCUUGCCUUUUUGAGUACCUUUCGUUUCCUCGGCAGGCUCGCCUGCCAAUGGGGACCACAAAAAACACUUUGCAGUACCUGUAACAGUCUGAACAAACAAAACAAAAAUUAAAACUUUCAACAACGGAUCUCUUGGUUCUGGCAUCGAUGAAGAACGCAGCGAAAUGCGAUAAGUAGUGUGAAUUGCAGAAUUCAGUGAAUCAUCGAAUCUUUGAACGCACAUUGCGCCCUUUGGUAUUCCUUAGGGCAUGCCUGUUCGAGCGUCAUUUAAACCUUCAAGCUAAGCUUGGUGUUGGGUGACUGUCCGCUUCACUGCGGACUCGCCUCAAAAUUAUUGGCGGCCGGUACAUUGGCUUCGAGCGCAGCAGAAACGCGAACUCGGGCCCGUCGUAUUGGCUCCCAGAAGCUAUCUUCACAAUUUUGACCUCGGAUCAGGUAGGGAUACCCGCUGAACUUAAGCAUAUCAAUAA
rnacentral:rRNA from 1 species